GCGCUUGUAGCUUAAUUGGAUAGAGCAUUACCCUCCGAAGGUAAAGGUUUCAGGUUCAAAUCCUGACUGGCGCA
rnacentral:tRNA from 1 species